UGGUGGGUUUGGGCACCGGGCAUGGAUGGCCUUGGCACUCGAGCGGCCAGAUUGUAGUGGGAGUAGCGGUCUUACAUGAAGCUUUGGAGGGUUUAGGACGGCUUUAGGAGUAUGGAGGGAGAAAUCUGCCCACUUGGUCUGGAGUAGAGGGAACGAGGGGAACAUGCAUUUCUCCGUUGUUGGAAUAGCAUCUGCACUGGAACUUUUUGACAAGAGCAAAAUGUCCACCAUGGCUAUCACCAGUGGACAUGGAUCACUGAGGGGGCCUGUGAUUAACAGAUAGCACCACGUCUCCUCUGCUGGCAGGCCAUCAUUACGACGAGCACUAGAAGAUAGGUUCUGUGGGCGAAAAGACCUUUUGGAAAAUGUCAGCGACAGUCAAAGCCCCAAAUUUCCUCCAUUCACUCUUUCCCAUGUGAUGCUACCUACUCUAAUACCUUAAUCACACAACCCUUUUCUCCUAUUGCCUAAUGUUUUGUAUCUUAAGUGCAGUGUGAGAUUGUGGAGAUUUUAUUUUAUCUGGUGUGGCUUACCUGAAGAUUGGACAUAUUAUUUAAAAAAAAAAGAAAACAACCCCAGCCCCAUAUUUCACCCAGCUCAGCAAACAAAAAACACUCAGCAAUGUCUGCAACAGCUCCCCUUUCCCACUCCCUUUCACUGGAGCCAGCUUCACCGUCUUAAUACUCUUAGUCCCUCGGUUGGCAUGUUUUCCAAGAACCCGCUGCAUUUUCAGAUUUGUAAAAUCCGUCAAAAUGCCUGUAAUGAAUAUUUCUACAGCCUUGACUGUAUUUAAUAUGCUGUUUGACCAGCCCAAUAAGAAACGUGUACUGAUCUGGCACCAGGACCAGUGCGUCAGUAGAAGGUUUAUUGUCCAGAAACUGUCUGGACUGUCUUUUAUCAGGAGAAGCAGAAAGGAAAUAAACAUUCAUUAUUCAGAUAAUCUCUUAGGUUAUAAUUAACAUAUUUUCUGUGCAUGAAUCUACGUAUAUAUUUUGAAUUUAAAAAAAAAAAAAGGUACUACCGUUCGUACAGUCGUCUUCAUGAAUAAACUGUCAUAUUGCGAGAGGUCUUUGUUGUGUACUCAACACUUAAAUUGUACAGUCUGUUUUACUGUUGUUUUAGCUUUGCUGAAAAAAA